AAACCGGCAGAUCCGUGUAACAGUCACGCCCGUUUUACUGCACCGUUCCAGAUACGGCCCGCAUGUAGUCUGUGUAAUCAAGAGUAGGCAUCAGUCGGCGGAAUCAUAAUAGUUCUGGCCCGGACUCGUCGGAACGAGCACGCGAACUGUUGGUCUUUCUUUGGAUCAUUUCGGACUGCAAGCUUUGUGGAAAGAGUUUAUAACGGUUUUCGAUGGCUAAUUGACUGUUGGUCUUUCUUUGGAACAAUUCGGACUGCAAGCGUUGUAGAAGAGUUUAACGAUUUCGGCUCAAUGCUGUAGGAGGACAGAACUCCAAAAGAGUAACUUAGAAUAUACUUUCAAGGAUUUUCUCAAACACAGUGGCCAAACAGAUUAAUUGGAAAGGAGUAAACGGGAAAAGAGGUUUUAAAGAAAUGCUGACACAAACUCUGUUGAUCAAGGCUGUACGGAAGAACCAAGCUGCUAGCUGCGCAUCGGACAACGAGAUUAACAAGCACGCCGUCCGCUGGUUCAACUUGGCCUCUGACCGUGGAGGUGGCCGCAAAGAACGUGCCAUGGCCAGAGAGGCCAUUCAUUAACCGUGAAAUGAACGCAUCGGCCAUCCCCCACUCUUCCACCAUUGAUGAUUUGUUGGGUGUUAUGUGAGAGUUGUGGCAUUCCCACUUCACUUGCCUCAUCAAUGUUUCCUGUAAAGCCACCAAAGAACGUGUAUGAACAUUUUGUUUUUUCUGGGUUUCAUAUGACUAGAGUUGGAUAUUGUAUUUUGGCUAUAAAACCUUUGUUAUUUAUACCAUGGUCAUGGAAAAUGGUUAAAAUCUAAAUGGCUGGCAGGUAUUAUCUAUUAAGACAAACUUAUCGCUAAUUAAAACGUUACAUCUUGUGUGUUUAGGCCGUAGAAUCUCGUUUCUCUGCUGGCUUUAGCUUUUUUUUCUGCUUUAAUUUAAAAAAUAACCACAAAAUAACACCUGUGUCAUAGGUAUGUGGUAGUAAAGAAGUUUCUUAUUCCUACAGUUGUCCUGUAGUUGUUCCUACAAGAAGUUUAUUAUUCCUACAGUUGUUAAAGACAGAAAUGAGCUGUAAAAUGUGUUUCUGUCCUGUCUUUUUA